rnacentral:rRNA from 1 species
UAGGGUCAAGCGAAACAAGUGCAUGUGGUGGAUGCCUUGGCGAUCACAAGGCGAUGAAGGACGCGGUAGCCUGCGAAAAGCGGUGGGGAGCUGGCAAAACGAGCUUUGAUCCACGAUAUCCGAAUGGGAAACCCGGCCCGUAUGGGUCAUCCAUGACUGAAUACAUAGGUCAUGCGAAGCGAAACGCGGUGAAACUGAAACAUCUAAGUAACCGCAGGAAAAGAAAUCAACCGAGAUUCCCAGAGUAGUGGCGAGCGAAAUGGGACCAGCCUGUACUCUUUAUCUUCAUUGUUAGUCGAACGCUCUGGAAAGUGCGGCCAUAGCAGGUGAUAGCCCUGUAGACGAAAACAGCGAGGAAGAACUGGGUGUACGACAAGUAGGGCGGGACACGUGAAAUCCUGUCUGAAGAUGGGGGGACCAUCCUCCAAGGCUAAAUACUCGUGAUCGACCGAUAGUGAAACCAGUACCGUGAGGGAAAGGCGAAAAGAACCCCGGGAGGGGAGUGAAAUAGAUCCGGAAACCGCAUGCAUACAAACAGUCGGAGCCUUCGCAAGGGGUGACGGCGUUACCUUUGUAUAAUGGGUCAGCGACUUACAUUCAGUGGCAAAGCUUAACCGAUUAGGGGCAGGCGUAGCGAAAAGCGAGUCCGAACAGGGCGUUCAGUCGCUGGGUGUAGACCCGAAACCAGGUGACUCUAUCAUGGCCAGGAUGAAGGUGCGUAACACGUACUGGAGGUCCGAACCCACUAACGUUGAAAAGUUAGGGGAUGAGCUGUGGAUAGGGGUGAAAGGCUAAACAAACCUGGAAAUAGCUGGUUCUCUCCGAAAAACUAUUUAGGUAGUGCCUCGUGUAUCACCUUCGGGGUAGAGCACUGUCAUGGUUGUGGGUCCAUUGCGGGAUUACUACGCCAUAGCAAACUCCGAAUACCGAAGAGUGCAAUCACGGGAGACAGACAUCGGGUGCUAACGUCCGGUGUCAAGAGGGAAACAACCCAGACCGCCAGCUAAGGUCCCCAAAUAUUGCUAAGUGGGAAACGAAGUGGGAAGGCUAAAACAGUCAGGAGGUUGGCUUAGAAGCAGCCAUCCUUUAAAGAAAGCGUAAUAGCUCACUGAUCGAGUCGUCCUGCGCGGAAGAUGUAACGGGGCUAAGCAAUAUACCGAAGCUGCGGAUGCAUAUUUAUAUGCAUGGUAGGAGAGCGUUCCGUAAGCCUGCGAAGGUGCAUUGAAAAGUGCGCUGGAGGUAUCGGAAGUGCGAAUGCUGACAUGAGUAGCGAUAAAGGGGGUGAAAGGCCCCCUCGCCGUAAGCCCAAGGUUUCCUACGCAACGUUCAUCGGCGUAGGGUGAGUCGGCCCCUAAGGCGAGGCAGAAAUGCGUAGCUGAUGGGAAGCAGGUUAAUAUUCCUGCACCAUUGUUAAAUGCGAUGGGGGGACGGAUCGCGGAAGGUUGUCCGGGUGUUGGAAGUCCCGGUCGCUGCGUUGGAGAAGGCACUCAGGCAAAUCCGGGUGCGCAAUUCAAGGGCGUGGCGCCAUUCACUUCGGUGAAGAAGCAACUGGAAGUGGUUCCAAGAAAAGCCUCUAAGCUUCAGUUUAACAAGACCGUACCGCAAACCGACACAGGUGGGCGAGAUGAGUAUUCUAAGGCGCUUGAGAGAACUCGGGAGAAGGAACUCGGCAAAUUGGUACCGUAACUUCGGGAUAAGGUACGCCCCUGUAGCUUGACUGGCCUGCGCCAGAAGGGUGAAGGGGUUGCAAUAAACUGGUGGCUGCGACUGUUUAAUAAAAACACAGCACUCUGCAAACACGAAAGUGGACGUAUAGGGUGUGACGCCUGCCCGGUGCCGGAAGAUUAAAUGAUGGGGUGCAAGCUCUUGAUUGAAGUCCCGGUAAACGGCGGCCGUAACUAUAACGGUCCUAAGGUAGCGAAAUUCCUUGUCGGGUAAGUUCCGACCUGCACGAAUGGCGUAACGAUGGCCACACUGUCUCCUCCCGAGACUCAGCGAAGUUGAAGUGUUUGUGAUGAUGCAAUCUCCCCGCGGCUAGACGGAAAGACCCCAUGAACCUUUACUGUAGCUUUGCAUUGGACUUUGAACCGAUCUGUGUAGGAUAGGUGGGAGGCUUUGAAGCGUGGACGCCAGUCUGCGUGGAGCCGACCUUGAAAUACCACCCUGGUUUGUUUGAGGUUCUAACCUUGGUCCGUUAUCCGGACUGGGGACAGUGCAUGGUAGGCAGUUUGACUGGGGCGGUCUCCUCCCAAAGUGUAACGGAGGAGUACGAAGGUACGCUAGGUACGGUCGGAAAUCGUGCUGAUAGUGCAAUGGCAUAAGCGUGCUUAACUGCGAGACCGACAAGUCGAGCAGGUGCGAAAGCAGGUCAUAGUGAUCCGGUGGUUCUGUAUGGAAGGGCCAUCGCUCAACGGAUAAAAGGUACUCUGGGGAUAACAGGCUGAUACCGCCCAAGAGUUCAUAUCGACGGCGGUGUUUGGCACCUCGAUGUCGGCUCAUCUCAUCCUGGGGCUGUAGCCGGUCCCAAGGGUAUGGCUGUUCGCCAUUUAAAGAGGUACGUGAGCUGGGUUUAAAACGUCGUGAGACAGUUUGGUCCCUAUCUGCCGUGGGCGCUGGAUAUUUGAAGGGGGCUGCUCCUAGUACGAGAGGACCGGAGUGGACGAACCUCUGGUGUACCGGUUGUCACGCCAGUGGCAUCGCCGGGUAGCUAUGUUCGGAAGAGAUAACCGCUGAAAGCAUCUAAGCGGGAAACUCGCCUUAAGAUGAGAUAUCCCCGGGGCUUCGAGCCCCUUGAAGGGUCGUUCAAGACCAGGACGUUGAUAGGUCAGGUGUGGAAGCGCAGUAAUGCGUUAAGCUAACUGAUACUAAUUGCCCGUAAGGCUUGAUCCU